UACGUAGGUGGCAAGCGUUGUCCGGAUUUACUGGGUGUAAAGGGCGUGUAGGCGGAGCAGCAAGUCAGAAGUGAAAUCUCCGGGCUUAACCCGGAAACUGCUUUUGAAACUGUUGCCCUUGAGUAUCGGAGAGGCAGGCGGAAUUCCUAGUGUAGCGGUGAAAUGCGUAGAUAUUAGGAGGAACACCAGUGGCGAAGGCGGCCUGCUGGACGACAACUGACGCUGAGGCGCGAAAGCGUGGGGAGCAAACAGG
rnacentral:rRNA from 1 species